rnacentral:rRNA from 1 species
GAUGAACGCUGGCGGCGUGCCUAAUACAUGCAAGUCGAGCGAACAGACGAGGAGGUUGCUACUCUGACGUUAGAGGCGGACGGAAGAGGAACAUGAGGAUAACCCAACUAUAAGACUGGGAUAACUACGGGAAACCGGAGCUAAUACCGGACAAUAUCUUGAACCGCGUGGUUCGAUAGUGACAGCCGGUUUUGCUGUAACUUAUAGAUGGCUCCGCGCCGCAUUAGCAAGUUGGUAAGGUAACGGCUUACCGAGGCAACGAUGCGUAGCCGACCGGGGAGGGUGUUCGGCCACUCUGGGACUGAGCCACGGUCCAGACUCCUAGGGACGGCACCAGUAGGGACUCGUCCGCGAUGUGCGGAAGCCUGACGGAGCAGCGCCGCGUGAGUGAUGAAGGUCUUCGGAUCGUAUAACUCUGUUAUUAGUGAAGAACAAAUUUGUAAGUAACUAUGCACGUCUUGACGGUACCUAAUCAGAAAGCAACGGCUAACUACGUG